CUAGACUUUAGGUGGAGGAGAGCCAUGAUCAGACUUAUAUUUUGAAAACAUCACCUUGUGCAGAAAACAGAUUGUAGGGCAACAAGCGUCACGGGACAGUCCAGAAACCAUGGCAGUAGUUCAGGCAACAGACAAUUGCAUGAAUUUGAUGGUAGAGAUGGAGAAUCGAAUGAACUCCAGAGAUGUUUAAGACGGGGUGAUAUACUUUGGAUAUGGUUUAUUUGACCCUGCCAAACUUCGUGUUGAAAUGUGACCCCCCAAUGUUGAAAGUGGGGCCUGUGCGAGGUGUUUGGGUCAUGGGGGCUGAUCCCUUAUGAAAGGCUUGGUGCUGUCCUGGCAGUAAUGAGUGAGUUCUGUUAGUCUGGAGAGAACUGAUUGUUAAGAAGAGCCUGUCAACUUCUCCUCCCCCGACCCCUGCUUUCUUUCUUGCAGGAUGAUUCCUCCUGGUCUCUGCCAUGAGUGGAAACUUCCUCAGUUCCUCACCAGAAGAUGCUGACACCAUGCUUCUUAUACGAACGUACUUUAGUUGCUUCUUUCACUUGACAUAUAUUAUUGCACACCUGUGACAUCUAGGCUUUGGAUGGUGGGGAGGCAAUGGAGAACAAAAUAGACAUGGUUCCUCAUUGUAGAGCUUACAGUGUGGGAAAUAGAUGCCAAUCAAGUCAUCUCCCAAAUCAGUGGCUAAUUGCCCCAAGGAAGUGGGCAAGGAGCCAAAUAAACCUCUUUUUAAAAAUGAAUUACCCAGCCUCAGGUAUAGCAACGUUGAUGGACUCCUACAGGUGGGAUGGACAGAGCUUGGCCAUGGACUAGGUAUGGCGGAUGAAGAGGGAGAUAUGGCUGACACCCAGAUUUUUAGCACGAACUACAGGAUGGAUGGUGGCCAUUCACUGAGCACCCAAAAGCUAGCUGUUGUAGGCAUGCAGUAA
rnacentral:lncRNA from 13 species